rnacentral:misc_RNA from 1 species
AAGUCGUAACAAGGUUUCCGUAGGUGAACCUGCGGAAGGAUCAUUAAAACGUAUCCACGUACCAACCCAGUACGAACAGUUCCCUUUGGAUCGGAGCAAUGGUCGAUUGAGUUUGUCGUGACAAGGGCGCAAGCCUUGAACUCCGUCGGUCGUCCCUUACGGGAGCUUUGAUACUAAAGCGGUUCAUCAUUUCCAUUUCACGGGAAACAUCCAAUGUACCAAUUAUUAACCCUUUGUACCUUUUGAACUGAACUGCGACCUCGUUGGCUUCCACUUCGUGGAAGACACGGAGCUUUCGAUCUAUUACGAAACUCAAACAACUCUUAACAACGGAUAUCUUGGUUCUC